UACGUAGGUGGCAAGCGUUGUCCGGAUUUACUGGGCGUAAAGAGCGCGCAGGCGGUCGUUCAAGUCGCGUGUGAAAGCCCCCGGCUCAACUGGGGAGGGUCACGCGAUACUGAUCGACUGGAAGGCAGGAGAGGGUAGUGGAAUUCCCGGUGUAGUGGUGAAAUGCGUAGAUAUCGGAAGGAACACCGGUGGCGAAAGCGGCGCGCUGGACCUCUUCUGACGCUGAGGCGCGAAAGCCAGGGGAGCAAACGGG
rnacentral:rRNA from 1 species